rnacentral:misc_RNA from 1 species
UACGCUUUUGAACACUGGACCAGCUUCACAAAUUUGAUUAACUUUGCGUCAAACGAAUCGAUCAUUCUUUGAAACCAACACCGAACUACUUCGAUAAAUUUUGUACGUUUUGCUUGCAACAACUCGGUUAUUCCUUGAAACUUGCUUGCAGAAUCACAACAGGUUGCACCGGUGAAGAACAAAGCGAUUUUACAAAUACUCAAGUGCGUAAAUUCCAAUUUUAAAAUUCCUUUCGCUCGCUGCUGUAACUAUAAGAAGGGAAACGUGAUUUUCGCACGGAAUAGAAACGAUUUUUCGAACGAAUCGAGCACACGGCGUGAUUCCGUCGCGUUUUCUUCGCCAGACUAAUAUCGCGAACGCAAGCACGCAGAGGAAAAGUUACGAGCGUUAGAAGCAUUCGAUGAUACGCUGAACACGUCACGUGAUAACUCGCACUCUAUUCGCGUGCACUGUGCACGCUUUUUUAUUAUCUAAAAGUAAUCAACGCGGUAUUUAAUCUC